rnacentral:rRNA from 1 species
GACGAACGCUGGCGGCGUGCUUAACACAUGCAAGUCGAACGGAAAGGCCCUGCUUUUGUGGGGUGCUCGAGUGGCGAACGGGUGAGUAACACGUGAGUAACCUGCCCUUGACUUUGGGAUAACUUCAGGAAACUGGGGCUAAUACCGGAUAGGAGCUCCUGCUGCAUGGUGGGGGUUGGAAAGUUUCGGCGGUUGGGGAUGGACUCGCGGCUUAUCAGCUUGUUGGUGGGGUAGUGGCUUACCAAGGCUUUGACGGGUAGCCGGCCUGAGAGGGUGACCGGCCACAUUGGGACUGAGGUACGGCCCAGACUCGUACGGGAGGCAGCAGUGGGGAAUAUUGCACAAUGGGCGGAAGCCUGAUGCAGCAACGCCGCGUGCGGGAUGACGGCCUUCGGGUUGUAAACCGCUUUCGCCUGUGACGAAGCGUGAGUGACGGUAAUGUGUAAAGAAGCACCGGCUAACUACGUG